ensembl:snRNA U6 U6 spliceosomal RNA
GUGCUCACUUCAGCAGCAUAUACACUAAAAUUGUGAACGAUACAGAGAAAAUUAGCAUGGCUCCCAAACAAGGAUGACAUGCAAAUUCACGAAGCAUUCUGUAUUUUU